CCCAUGGCCCUAUCGAAGCUGCGUCUGUCUUAUCUGUGACUGAUGUAGUCAAAAAGGUGCCGAAAAUAAUAUUUUUCUUUGACGGUCGCUGUUUGGUUUGUUCUCCCAUAACUCUUCAGCAACAUUUUGGGGAAAAUACAUAU
ensembl:snoRNA small nucleolar RNA, H/ACA box 16A